GUCCACGCCCUAAACGAUGUCAACUAGGUGUUGGGGGAGGAGACUUCCUUAGUACCGCAGCUAACGCGUGAAGUUGACCGCCUGGGGGAGUACGGUCGCAAGAUUAAAACUCAAAGGAAUUGACGGGGACCCGCACAAGCGGUGGAUUAUGUGGAUUAAUUCGAUGCAACGCGAAAAACCUUACCUACCCUUGACAUGCCAGGAACUUGCCAGAGAUGGCUUGGUGCCCGAAAGGGAACCUGGACACAGGUGCUGCAUGGCUGUCGU
rnacentral:rRNA from 1 species